GAUGAACGCUGGCGGCGUGCCUAAUACAUGCAAGUCGAGCGAACAGAUCAGGAGCUUGCUCCUUUGACGUUAGCGGCGGACGGGUGAGUAACACGUGGGUAACCUACCUAUAAGACUGGGAUAACUUCGGGAAACCGGCGCUAAUACCGGAUAACAUUUGGAACCGCAUGGUUCUAAAGUGAAAGAUGGUUUUGCUAUAUCUUAUAGAUGGACCCGCGCCGUAUUAGCUAGUUGGUAAGGUAACGGCUUACCAAGGCAACGAUUCGUAUCCGACCGGAUAGGCGGGUCGGCCGCACUAGAGGGUAGACACGGACCUGGCGCCUACGAGAGGGAGCAGUAUCGUAUCGUACGCAGUAGGCGGAAGCCUUACGGAGCGACGGCGCGUGUGUGAUGAAGGGUUUCGGCUCGGAAAACUCUGUUAUUAGGUAAGAACAAAUGUGUAAGUAACUGUGCACUGCGUGACGGUACCGAAUCAGAAAGCCACGGCUAACUACGUG
rnacentral:rRNA from 1 species